UAGACUGGAUGCCCUGAAGACGGACUUUGU
rnacentral:piRNA from 1 species